rnacentral:rRNA from 1 species
AGAGUUUGAUCCUGGCUCAGGAUGAACGCUAGCGGCAGGCCUAACACAUGCAAGUCGAGGGGCAGCGAGGGGUAGCAAUACUCUGUCGGCGACCGGCAGAAGGGUGCGUAACGCGUGAGCAACUUGCCCGUCACAGGGGGAUAACCGGUGGAAACGCCGCCUAACACCCCGUAACACUUGGUGAGACAUCUUACUAAGUUGAAAAUCUUAGGAUGGUGACGGAUGGGCUCGCGUGACAUUAGAUAGAUGGUGGGGCAACGGCUCACCAUGUCGACGAUGUCUAGGGGUUCUGAGAGGAAGAUCCCCCACACUGGGACUGAGACACGGCCCAGACUCCUACGGGAGGCAGCAGUGAGGAAUAUUGGACAAUGGAGGGAACUCUGAUCCAGCCAUGCCGCGUGAAGGACUAAGGCCCUAUGGGUCGUAAACUUCUUUUUAUUGGGAGCAAUAAGGACUACGCGUAGUUCGAUGAGAGUACCAGUAGAAUAAGCAUCGGCUAACUCCGUGCCAGCAGCCGCGGUAAUACGGAGGAUGCGAGCGUUAUCCGGAUUUAUUGGGUUUAAAGGGUGCGUAGGCGGUUAUGUAAGCCAGCGGUGAAAUACCCACGCUCAACGUGGGGGCUGCCGUUGGAACUGUGUAACUAGAAUGCGGAUGACGUGGGAGGAAUGAGUGGUGUAGCGGUGAAAUGCAUAGAUAUCACUCAGAACAUCGAUUGCGAAGGCAUCUCACGAAUCCGUUAUUGACGCUGAGGCACGAAAGCGCGGGUAGCGAACAGGAUUAGAUACCCUGGUAGUCCGCGCAGUAAACGAUGAUGGCUAACCGCCGGCGAUACACAGUCGGUGGCCAAGCGAAAGCGAUAAGCCAUCCACCUGGGGAGUACGACCGCAAGGUUGAAACUCAAAGGAAUUGACGGGGGCCCGCACAAGCGGAGGAACAUGUGGUUUAAUUCGAUGAUACGCGAGGAACCUUACCCGGGCUCGAACGGCAGAUGAAUACUUAAGAGAUUGAGUAGUCUUCGGACAUCUGUCGAGGUGCUGCAUGGUUGUCGUCAGCUCGUGCCGUGAGGUGUCGGCUUAAGUGCCAUAACGAGCGCAACCCUUGCCGCCAGUUGCCAGCAUGUAAUGAUGGGGACUCUGGGGGGACUGCCACCGCAAGGUGAGAGGAAGGGGGGGAUGACGUCAAAUCAGCACGGCCCCUACGUCCGGGGCGACACACGUGUUACAAUGGCAGGUACAGAGGGAAGCGACCUCGCGAGGGGGAGCAAAGCUCGAAAGCCUGUCUCAGUUCGGACUGGAGUCUGCAACCCGACUCCACGAAGCUGGAUUCGCUAGUAAUCGCGCAUCAGCCAUGGCGCGGUGAAUACGUUCCCGGGCCUUGCACACACCGCCCGUCA